AACAGAGCAGAUCUGGUCAUGAUGGCUAGAACUUCCCUUCAAUGCCCUUGCUGAACAGCUCUUGUGCCCAAGACAGGUGAAAGGCUUUUUCUCAUGGUCCGGAGAAUCGAAUGGAUGUGCAGGUGGUGCUGCCGUCGCUGAUGUGCGGACUGAUUUCGUGCCACGGAGUCAGACAAACGAUUCUGCUGCGCGCCUGCCCCGUACCGAUCAUGAAGCAGUCGUGCCGAGGAUCGGAGCCCCUACUCUGCCGGCGGAGGGAUGAAGGGAAGAUGAAUGGAUCACCCUUAACUCCAAGGUAACAUCGCAGAGGGAAUGACCAUGAAGCCCGACAAUCUCCUCGGGAUCCUGCUUGUAUCUAGUAUCCUCUCCUCAAGGACCAUCCAAGGGCUCCACACUUCUUUCUGUGACUCAAGGGACCACUGCAACUCUGGGGAAGAUACGGCCAUUAUCCUGACUUGAUGGAGGAACACCCAGUGUUUGGGAGAUGAAGUCACUGGCCCGAGGCCACCCAGGUGUUUGAACCCACAUCUGCCCACCUCACAGCCCACACUUUUACCCCUGCUGUUGCUGAAGCUCAGGAGAAGUCCGUGGAAGAUUCAUUGAGAACUAGUCUCAUCGCACCCUGCACUUGUCCUGAAGACAAUUCUCAUAAUUGGGAGCGCCCGGGUGGCUCAGUCAAUUAAGCGCCAGACUUCGACUCAGGUCACAAACUCGUGGUUUGUGAGUUCAAGCCCCGUGUUUGUGCUGACAGCU